CGAAUGCUGACAUAAGUAACGAUAAAGCGGGUGAAAAGCCCGCUCGCCGGAAGACCAAGGGUUCCUGUCCAACGUUAAUCGGGGCAGGGUGAGUCGACCCCUAAGGCGAGGCCGAAAGGCGUAGUCGAUGGGAAACAGGUUAAUAUUCCUGUACUUGGUGUUACUGCGAAGGGGGGACGGAGAAGGCUAUGUUGGCCGGGCGACGGUUGUCCCGGUUUAAGCGUGUAGGCUGGUUUUCCAGGCAAAUCCGGAAAAUCAAGGCUGAGGCGUGAUGACGAGGCACUACGGUGCUGAAGCAACAAAUGCCCUGCUUCCAGGAAAAGCCUCUAAGCAUCAGGUAACAUCAAAUCGUACCCCAAACCGACACAGGUGGUCAGGUAGAGAAUACC
rnacentral:rRNA from 1 species